UUGUUUUGUGUUUGCUUUGGGAUACCUCACAGUGUGCCAAAUUACUAGAGUCUAUAUCUUUGAUUAUGGACAAUACUCUGCUGAUUUUUCAGGCCCAAUGAUGAUAAUUACCCAGAAGAUCACUAGUUUGGCUUAUGAAAUUCAUGAUGGGAUGUUUCGAAAGGAUGAAGAACUGACAUCAUCACAGAGGGGGUUAGCUGUAAGGUGCGUGC